rnacentral:rRNA from 1 species
AUUGAACGCUGGCGGCAGGCCUAACACAUGCAAGUCGAGCGAAUGAGGGAAGCUUGCUUCCCGAUUUAGCGGCGGACGGGUGAGUAAUGCCUAGGAAUCUGCCUAUUAGUGGGGGAUAACGUUCCGAAAGGAACGCUAAUACCGCAUACGUCCUACGGGAGAAAGUGGGGGAUCUUCGGACCUCACGCUAAUAGACGAGCCUAGGUCGGAUUAGCUAGUUGGUGAGGUAACGGCUCACCAAGGCGACGAUCCGUAGCUGGUCUGGGAGGAUGAUCAGCCACACUGGAACUGAGACACGGUCCAGACUCCUACGGGAGGCAGCAGUGGGGAAUAUUGGACAAUGGGCGAAAGCCUGAUCCAGCCAUGCCGCGUGUGUGAAGAAGGUCUUCGGAUUGUAAAGCACUUUAAGUUGGGAGGAAGGGUUGUAAGCUAAUAUCUUGCAGCUUUGACGUUACCAACAGAAUAAGCACCGGCUAACUCUGUGCCAGCCGCCGCCCGUAACAC